UACAGAGGGGGCAAGCGUUAUUCGGAAUUAUUGGGCGUAAAGGGCGCGUAGGCGGCUUGGCAAGUGGAAGGUGAAAUCCCUCGGCUUAACCGAGGAACUGCCCUCCAAACUGCUUGGCUUGAGACCGGGAGAGGUGAGUGGAAUUCCCAGUGUAGCGGUGAAAUGCGUAGAUAUUGGGAAGAACACCGGUGGCGAAGGCGGCGACCUGGUCCUUUUACUGACGCUGAGGCGCGAAAGCGUGGGGAGCAAACAGG
rnacentral:rRNA from 1 species